rnacentral:rRNA from 1 species
UACGUAGGUGGCAAGCGUUGUCCGGAUUUACUGGGCGUAAAGAGCGCGCAGGCGGUCGAUUUAGUCGCGUGUGAAAGCCCCCGGCUCAACUGGGGAGGGUCACGCGAUACUGAUCGACUCGAAGGCAGGAGAGGGUAGUGGAAUUCCCGGUGUAGUGGUGAAAUGCGCAGAUAUCAGGAGGAACACCGGUGGCGAAGGCGGUUCUCUGGGCAUUACCUGACGCUGAGGAGCGAAAAGUGUGGGGAGCGAACAGG